UUGAUUGAAGGCUAAGGGUACUAGUUUUGCGCGAGGAGUCGGACAUAUGCCAUCUUUCCCGCAGUUUAUGAUCAUGCAAAAGCUGACACUCAAACUCUCAGUGAGCGAGCUCGAAGAUGCAAAUGCCGAAAAUGAAGGCUGGUUCUCCCGUCUCCCGCCUCAUCGUCGAAGCUUUCCUCGGCUUCCUCUCCAAUGGUCUCUCUCUCUCUCUCUCUCUCUCUCUCUGCUAACAUAUGCGGUUUUUUUUUUGAAUAUUUUAAUGAUGGGGGUGUUGUCCUGGAAGUAAUGCCGAAAAAUGUCCUGUUCUUGUUCAGUGACGUUUUGUUAGUACUUUUUGGAGUUGCUAAUUCCUGGUUCCGUGCUUAUUCCUUGGUAAUGCAAUAGUUGAACACUCUCCCGGGACUGAUCUUGAGGGUCUCGAGGUUGCUAAGAAUGUCUGGCGGACAUGUUCAAGGUCGAUACUGCCUCUCCGGUUGACAAUAUUUGCGGACGAGAAUUAUUGGUGGACUUUGUCGAGUCCCUUAAAGCUGGUGGCGAAGCCAAUUUGUCGCAGGGAUCAGCGCAUAAGGAGGACUUUUCUUCUUCUCCUCCUCCCCCUCUUACCCCCCCUCCCCGUUCUUCUAGUAAAUGUUAUUCCAGUCGCGAGGCUAAGUAGGAGGAUUCAAUAUGAUGAUUGGUGGCCUUUUCCUGAGCCUAUGAUUUAAAUAGAUAUCCAUUAUAGUGUAAGUGAAAGAAGUGCAAGAUCAUCACUAUGCAGUUUAGGGCGUUCGCAUUUCCCCUGGUGGACUAAAUGACGAGUGUUAAGCAAUGUCGUCUGAGAUCACUGAAAGCAAAGGCAAAUUUUUUCUUUAUGUCCUCCUUCCCAACACACAUAACUAGCAUGGGGUUGGUGGAGUAGAUGUUUGACUUGAGUUUUGAUAGAUCAAAGGAGGUAGCUUUUGCUUUUGCUCGGUCCAUUUGGAAAUGAAAGGAUAGUAAUGAGUCUAUGUUUCCUGGUUUGCUCUGUAGAUUUUUAGCUGCCUUUGUCUUGUGUCCUUCAGUUCUGCUUUUCUGCUCCAACUUCUAACCAAUAUCUUUCAACUUGAUUGAGGGAGAGCGUCCGACAAACAAACCCUUUGCCCCCGGUAGACCCAUGCAAUUUAUUUUUCUUCUUUGGGUUCCAUGAUUCUGACUAUUUUUUGUGUUAAUGGUUUCUUGACAAUUAAUCUUGGCAGGGUCAAAUGAACUUUUCCAAAUAUUCUGUGAUUCUGUUCGUGAUAAGGACAUUCUGGUGAUUGACUAUCGAAUGAUUGGUCCGCAGCUACGCAAGACAAAGUGCAUUACUUGAUAAUUAAAGCUGUAGCUGAGAUGCAAGAUUCUGUAUGCCGUGAAUUCAACAUUUACGAUGUGGCUGAAAAACUGAAAUCUUAAGGGCAGCUGCUUUCACUGAGAUCAAGGUAUACAAUGAAGCCAUCGAAGACUGUCUUGAUGCCAUUCACUGUGACCGGCACUAUUGGAAAGCAUACAGUCGUCUUGGUGCAUUAUACUAUGCUAUUGGGAGGUACAGUGAUGCUAUUAAGAGGUAUAAGAAAGCUUUGGAACUGAAUCCAGACAGUGCCUUCUAUCAAGGAGAGCAUUCAGGAGGGAUUGGAUUGAAUUGAGCCCUACCUCUCACAAGUUUGACCUGUUAGAGCUUUAGUUGGUGGAAGGAAAAGUGGUCAAUGUAAAUGAGCUCUAACGUAGUAUGCUAAGCUUUGCGUACA